rnacentral:rRNA from 1 species
UGGGGAAUAUUGGACAAUGGGCGAAAGCCUGAUCCAGCAAUGCCGCGUGUGUGAAGAAGGUCUUCGGAUUGUAAAGCACUUUCGACGGGGACGAUGAUGACGGUACCCGUAGAAGAAGCCCGGCUAACUUCGUGCCGG